rnacentral:lncRNA from 1 species
UUCUGUUUACAUUCACCAAAACCCCGCGGAAAUCUCACAUGCGUAGCUGCGUUCUAAAAGUCAUGUACGUUCGUACAACAAAGUUUAAAUUAAAAAUUAUAUAAUUGUCCCGAAUAAACAGCUGUCACGGAUGCAAAGAGCUAUUGGAGAAAUAAUUAUUUUAAUAAAAAUAUAAAUCUUUGUAAGAUCUAGUUCAAAUAUUUAUAGUUUUUCACUUGUUUUCCAUCACGAUAUAAUUAACGAGACGUUUUUUCAAACACAACCAAAUCACCCACCAUGACAGCAUUU